AUGAAAAGCGGGUUGUAUAGUAGUUGUAAUAUUGACAAUAUUACAACUACUAUACAACCCGCUGAACAAUUCAU